rnacentral:rRNA from 1 species
UACGUAGGGUGCAAGCGUUGUCCGGAAUUAUUGGGCGUAAAGAGCUCGUAGGCGGUUUGUUGCGUCGGCUGUGAAAUCCCGAGGCUCAACCUCGGGUCUGCAGUCGAUACGAGCAAACUAGAGUGUUGCAGGGGAGACUGGAAUUCCUGGUGUAGCGGUGGAAUGCGCAGAUAUCAGGAGGAACACCGAUGGCGAAGGCAGGUCUCUGGGCCAUUACUGACACUGAGAAGCGAAAGCAUGGGGAGCGAACAGG